GACAGAGGGUGCGAACGUUGUUCGGAAUUACUGGGCGUAAAGCGCGUGUAGGCGGCGUGGCAAGUCGGGUGUGAAAGCCCUGGGCUCAACCCAGGAAGUGCAUUCGAUACUGCCAUGCUGGAGUCCCGGAGAGGAUGGUGGAACUCUCGGUGUAGAGGUGAAAUUCGUAGAUAUCGAGAAGAACACCGGCGGCGAAGGCGGCCAUCUGGACGGUGACUGACGCUGAGACGCGAAAGCGUGGGGAGCAAACAG
rnacentral:rRNA from 1 species